rnacentral:lncRNA from 10 species
ACUGACACAGCUUGUCAGCAGGGGAAAACCAGGUUGCCCCAAGGACUUACCGACGCCCCAGAAAUAGCGCCUUUUUUCUCAGCCUACAGUUUCAAUUCCAGCACAGGUAUGAACACCAGAUUUUAGGUCAGCAAACUGACUCGAGGCAUUCCCAGUAGCGCAAACUUUCCGGGAUUGGCAGGGCAUUUUCUUCUGUGCUCAGCUGGCCUAACACAGCCCCAGCAUCCCCCCCUGCAGCGCAUCCUGGCACACCUCCGCGGCGUAGCGUCACCUCAUCUCCAUCUUUUGGAUAAAUCUAGAACCACGAAGGAUUUAAUAAUUCCAAGAAGGCUGAUCCAGCAAGUGAUUUUCUUUGGAGCGGAUAACCAUUUGUUCAUAGCCAUAGCGAUUUGAUUGGUGGAGCCGGUGGCCUCCCUUAGCCAAGGUAGGCUGUCUUUUCUUCCCUCGCCGGCAGUAAAGGAAACCUUCUCGUCACUUACUUCACCCCUGAAAGCAGUUUGGGUUCACAGUCUUUAAGGAACACUCCGGAAUACCAGGAGUUUGGGGAGGAUAUUGAUCUUUCCGUUCCG